rnacentral:lncRNA from 1 species
CAAUUUUUCCAGUUUUUAUUGAAAAUUGUGCAGUUUAAUGUGUUAUUGCUUUGUGAAAUGAAAGCAUAGUACAAACUAGACAACGAAAAUUUCAUAAGAAAUUUUAAGUGUGCCUAUUCCGCUGCCAAUGAGUGCAGUUUGCCAUUCAUAUGGCUACAAAGAAAAAUGCAGCAGAGCAGCUAUUCUCCACCAUGAACUAUGGUAAAAACAAACACCGCUCGUGCCUCACAGAUGACAGCUUACAGUUUUGUGUAAAGAUGAGGUGACUUCGUACAGCCCCGAUUUGCAGACGCUGUGCGCAGAGGUUCAUGAGCAGAAGUCCCAUUGUACCACGGCAGACCCGACAAUGUUGUAUGAACACGCUUUGUAGCAUUACUUUAUUGACCACUUUUCACACAUGGUUGGUGUACCCACACAGCCGAGAGAGCACAGACUUUACGCCUGAGAGGCGUGAUUGCAGAUGCCGCUCAGGUGGGUCCACCUCCCCUGCAGCGGCACUGCAGACCACGCCCCACCACACACAUCAAACACGUAAAAUAAAUAUUUAUGCACUUUUGCAUUCACUUUUUGUUUUUUGUUAUUUUUACACAGUGUUCUGAAUGAUGAACAAUGGUCUACAGCCAAUCUUGUGUAUUAUUAUACAAACUUUGGUUGUAAGACGCAGAUAACUAUUUAAUAAAAGCUAAAUAUUUUAUAUGAGAGUAAGAAAGAAAAGUAUAUCUUUGUGUCCCCUUUCCCUGUUAAUGCCCUAUCUGGCCCCCUGGCAAAAGCUUUGCUAGAUCCGCCCCUGCACAGUUACCAGCUGUCAGCUGUCAGCUACACAAAAACAGGAGCUUGGUGUUUAUUUGUCUCUCAGAAACAGUUCAUAACUUCCCCUCAACUCAUUCAUGUCACCUAAAGGGUAAACCUGUUUCUCCAUCACCAGUUCAGCUCUGAUGAUUCAGUAAGGACAUCUGGUUUGGACCAGCCAUUUUACAGCUGUGGCUCCAGCAAACAUCAGCUGAUACUAGAAAUUAAAAGCAAAUGAAUUGUAACAACAGCUGAUCAAGCUUAAACGUGCUGCUGUUGUUUACGCGAUAAACAAACAAGAGAGAAAAGCCGAUCGUUGAUCAGUUUCAUGACUGAAGUUUCAACAGGCGAGAGAAUGACAGGGAGGCUAUCAUAAAGUUCAACAUCGGUAACUUAGCGCGCACACACAGCUGUAUAGAAACUCCGUCGUGCUAGCUAGCAUGCAGUGCGAGUUAUUGUAAGUGAUUGAAAAAGUCAGCACAACGAAAAUAAACUACACCUAAACUCGGUUUAUAUCUGACCCAAAUUGAGUGCAGUUCAUAACUUCUUACCUGAAAUUCAGUUCACCUCACGCUCCUGCCUUCGGUUUCCCUGAUCCACGAUUGACCUCCGCGUUAGCAACCACCGGUCGAUCGGCGGUCGCCUCGCCGCCUCGUAUGUCUCGUUCGCGGCAUGUCCUUUCUGUCAUACACCGGUGGAUAGCUGCCCUCUGUUGUAGCUCCGCGUUGUAGCACCACCAAACAACUCAGUUAUUUUUCCACAUCCAGCUGUAACUCCUGUGCGAGCAUUUGCGAGAGACCGGGGAGGUGAAACGAGAGAGAGAGUCCCUCGCUGUCCAUUUGCAGCCAAGUGCGGCAACUAGCUAGUUAGCCGGUUAGCUGUCAGGCAGGACCGACGUCGUCAGAGCACUGUUGCUAAUAUGGGAUGUCUUGAUAAAACAAGCAGAUAUUUGAAGUUUACACACCUACAUUCUCGCCUGAAAAUAUCUUAAAAGUUUAUUUUGUGACCUAGAAACACUAAUAAAAGAGAUAUAAAACGAAGUGGUGGCCGCCAUUGUUUACUCUGUAGAGGUGUGCUAUGAAUUGUGGGAUAUGGAGUUUCCCCCCACGCAUACACCUUUUUGGCUGUACUACUCCGGGUAUACCACUAGAGAGAGCCAACACACCACAAAUGAAGUCUGUUUCUAUGGGGCCAAAAGUAGAAUCUUUCUCAGGAGCCUAGAAAUUGGCCCAAAUUUACACUAAAAUCAAAAUAUUUAAAAAACUAUAAAAGUCAUACCGUACUAGUCCAGCUCCAGCCGCACAAAAUGAUCUAACAUAUGUAACCCUAUUGUCAAAACUGUUCGGCAGAGAAGCGCGGGAAAAUUUUCAGUAAAAUAUUACUAUUUAAAAAAUAUAAAAGUCAUAAACACCAAAAGUCAUAGCACACCAUUCCAGAUCCAGCCGCACAAAAUGAGGUAACAUAUAUGAAGCUUGUCUCAAAACUGCGGGGCGAGUUUCGCUGCAAAAUUUCAGGCAGAAACUGGAGAAUAAUAAUAAUAAGAACUAGAAAGGGAAAAUUUCAGAAGAAAUUUUAAGUGUGCCUAUGCUACUGCCAGUGAGUGUAGUUUGCCUUUAAUGUGGUUCAAUUAGCGCCGGUUGCCAUUUAUAACACUAGAGGGAGCAAUACGCAACAUGAGCAUAGUUUGCUAUUUAUACCACAAGAAGGAGGGAAAUGGAAUACAGCUGAUUUUCAAUUUAAAGCAAAGUAAGCUGUAUUGUGAUCUCUGUUAUAUGCAGCAUACAGAGAUGAGAGAAAGAUGCUCCAGUUACAUGAUUACAAAAGAAGUUAAUAGAUAUAAAAGAAAUAAAAUAAAUUAUGGUUUAGUGUCAGGUGUUCAAGAGAAGUUACAAUUUAGAUUUUACAGUUUUGAGUCGUUUAAAGUGGUAGAAAACAAUGUCCAUUAAGCGGUAUUCAAUUUGUAUUUCAAAGGUAUUUUAAUGUGAAAGGGGAAAUUCCACAUGCAAAUUAUGAAAUUUCCCCUUGUGGGACUAAUAAAUGUAUCAUGUUAUUCAAAAAAUAUUUUGUACAAAUACCAUUUACAAUAAUGUAUGACAUUUAAACAUGAUAUUUAGAUUGUGGUAAAUAGCAAAGCAAUAUAAAAUAAAAAGGAAACCAUUCAAGUAACUUUAUAUUAUGAACUGAAGAGUAAGGCAAAAGUAUAAAUGAAAAGCAUACAAGCAUUAAUGUAUAUAGAUAAACCCAACAAUCAUAUGACCCCUAUGAGCAAGCACUUUGGCGACAGUGGGAAGGAAAAACUCCCUUUUAACAGGAAGAAACUCCGGCAGAACCAGGCUCAGGGAGGGGCGGCCAUCUGCCGCGACCGGUUGGGGUGAGAUGUAAACAAAUCCAAAACUGUCCACAGAGCUACAGGGGGCACACUGAGAUCGCAACAGCAGCCAUAGAGGGAAACAGAUUAGGAUGUUCUUCCCAGUACUGAAGUGGGUCGGCUUUUCUUAUGUGUGCGUUUUUCUCUGAGAGGUAGGUCUCCACUUUAGUUUCUGUUGAUGAGGCACUCACGGAUACUUCUGGAUAAGGGUCAUUUGGAAGCAAGAGGUUGGCUGACUUUGCGAAAACAGCUAGAAACAGAUAAAAGGAAAACACAAUUUAAAACAAUAAAACAAGAGACAUCACAAAGCGCAGCUCUUCAGUUAGCAAACUGGCAAGUAAUGAAGUUCUAAAAAAUAACUGGAAAAACAAAUCUAACUUUAGAACUAAAUGACCCAAAACUAUAUUAAAAAGGUAGUAAAAAAAGAAACUGGCUUAAUACUGUUGUCUUCUGAUGAGGCAAGUUGCCAUGCGAGGUAAAAACCACACGUGGCUGUAAUUUGGUGGCCUGUACAGAGUUCCAAUCCAAGCAUGUAGUUGGUUUAAAUGGGUUUAAUACUGGUGUCUUUUGAUCACUUGACUGUAUAUAAACCUGUUGAACAAAAGGUGCAUUUUAAUUUCACUAUACCUGCCCAUCCUUGUAGCCGGUUUCUAGUAGCGUGGCACAGUUUCAGGAUUAGUGUAGGGCUUCUCCACUGCCUUCACUGGACAGAACACAUCUGAGGAGUUAUGAAUGAAUGGAUGACUUAAUGAAUGGAUGAGAUUAUAGUUUGUUUCAAACAAUAUCAAAUGUUACAAUAUAAAGUAAGAAACAAAAAUACAAUUACCUGUUAUGGCAGGGAUCCCAUCAGGUGCAGUUGCAGUCUUUCUGUUCAUGUUUCUGGUCAGCUCUUCAAUGGAUGAGAGCAGUCUUAUCUAUCAGCUCCCACUGGUGAGCUGUCAGUGUUGCUGGUAGAGUGUGCUCAGUUGCAAAGACACUAAGAUCACUUGGCAAGUCCAUAUCCCUCACAACCUUGCAGUCAUUUUGUGUUAGUGAAUUACACAAUAAAUGGGGUUGUGAUAACUGUGAUAUGUAUUCAGAACACCUGAUUGGAGGCAGGCGUAUGGCUGUGAUAUGUAAAGGUGAUCAAUCAAUGUGUGUUUUUCUGUGGUUGCAGCAGUAAUAAGUUGUGCAUAUCCUCUUGACUGAAACAGUUCUUGGAUGGGUUUUUUUCCUCUGCUCAUAAGGUCCUCAUUGAAGUCUCCACAAACAAUAAUUGGUUGGCAAUUCAUCAUUUCCAAUGAGUCCAAAAGACAUUGCAUUUGUGGUAAAAACCUCAUGUGGCUGUAAUUUGGUGGCCUGUAUACAGUUGCUAUCAAAGCUGUGACUGGUGAUUCAACCUUGAUAACAACAAAUUCAAGAUCAGUCACAUUUUGCAGGUAUUUUCGAGACUCUGCUGUAAGAACUGUUUUGUAGUACAUUGCAACUCCACCGCCAUUUACCUUUGCCAUGUCUGUAUGGUUUGUGUAAGAGACGUGUCUGUUGUGUGUGGCCAUGUUGUACUGUUCCAGCUGGAAGCGGGGAGAAACUGAUGAUCCAGACAAGUGAGUUUCUGUUAUGCAUAAAACAUCAGCAAGGCUGAGUUCAUGGUGGCAUCUCAUGUCCUCCAUGUGAGUUGGGAGACCUUGUGCAUUGUGAUGGAUAAUUGUCAACGUGGGGACUAUGGGAACAACUGAUUUUAAGAAUUGCAACAGUGGUCUCUCAUUCUCAAAUGAUGCAUGUCUCAUAUUUUUGAGUGCAUCUGUGAUGGCAGGAUCAGCAUAGAUUUUCCUUUCAUCAAAGUCUGUGAUGUACAGUCCUUUAAGUGAGGUUGUGCGGCUGAGUGCAACAUAGGCCAUUCCAGGUUCAAAAACACGCUUCAAACAUACUACUGCUGACUCCAUUGUCAUGCCUUGUACUUUGUGAGCUGUACAUGCAAAGGCCAACUUCAUUGGAAAUUGCCUGCGAAGAACUCCUUUUUUACUUGUAGAUUCUUCACAUUUCUCAAUAUAUACCAGGUUGUCUGAGGAUCCUUGUAUUUUUCUGCGAAAUUUUUGCCCAGAAUUUUGAUUGUCCAGCGUAAGUCCAAUGAGAUUCACAGUUUUUGGUCCAUCCUGUGUGGUUGUCACAAUGUUCGUGAUUGUUCCAAAUGUCCCAUUAACAAGCCCAUCUUCACAUCCAAAUUUCUAAUAAUCAUAACACUCACUCCAGGUGCAGCUUGUAUGUUAUCAGGUAAAUCUCUUUUGUUGCCUUUCAUCAUAUCUGCCAGGAGGACCAUCUCACCCGUUCGUGGGUCUUUUCUGUAGUCUUCGGCCUGAAUAUUUAUGAUAUCAGAAUGAAGAGCAGUUACAGUUGCUGAAUUGUGUUUGUCGACCUCUUUGUUUGUAGCAUAAAUGUGUAAUACAUUA